CUGGGUGGGAUAAAAGAGGCUGAAAGACAGGGUGAAGGUCUUUUGUUAGCUUUGCUGACUUGUGAAUGCUGUGUUGCUUCUCCUUUUCGAGGCCUGUUUACCAUCCCUGCCUUGUAGCCAGCCAAUUGUGGACUGAAACCUCUAUGAACUGUUGUUGGUGAACUGGGGCUCCUGCACUAAGGGAGUUUUCCUGGCUUAGUGAUGUCCUUUCUUUCCUGAGGUGCUAGAAGUGGAACCCAUGCCCUCAAGCAUGCUAGGACAAGUCUUGCUUGAAUUUCUACUCCAGCACAACAGUGCAAGGCAGAGGAAGAUUAAAAUGAACCUUCCACUGCUUGUCUUCCGAAGUACUGUGCAGCGCUUCUUCAACAUCCCUAAAAUGUGGACAGUCCUUUUCUACAGACUCAGAUAGUGCCAAUGAACUAUGUUAAAUUUUUAUUUAUUUAUUUUCUCAAGGGAGGGGUGGGCCUUGCUAUGAGCCCAGGCCGCCCGGAACUUCUGAACCCCAGUGAUCUCCACCUCAGCCUCUGUAGUAGGUGGGGACUACAUGUGCACACUGCCUGAAAUCUCUGCUUGCUUGCUUGGUUUUGGUGUUUUGAUACAGGGUCUCCCUAUGCAGUUCAGGCUGGCCUUAAACUCACUAUGGAGCCCAGGCUGGCCUGGAACUUACUGUGAUCCUCCUGCCUCAGCCUCCCCUGUGCUGGGAUUACAGGUGUGUGCCACCACGCCUGGCUAACUGGGUUAAAACUUUUAAAGUUCAAAAUAUUUUGGGGACAAACAGAUCUUCCGAGAGGUACGACGGUAGAUACACAACACUGCUGUAUCAGAAACUGUAAAUAUGACGGUACAGUACUGCUUUCCUUAGUGAACUGAUGUGUGCACAGGUAAUACCUCUCACACAGCUUAUAAUCAAUAAAUGUCCCUUUCCCUGUCAUCUACUUCAGUGCAACUUAUUCUCGACCCAGUACUUUAGCACUGAACACGGAUUUCUUCCGAGUCAGACAUUGGUAACAUUGUGCUUGACGUAAGAACGUGCAGGCAAGAGCAGGUUGAAUUUCUUCACCCCAUUUUGUCCAAUAUACCAAAUACUGUAAA